GGCAGUUAAAGAUGAAGCCACUGGGAGUACCCUCCUCUGCUCGAGGGACAGCACUGAGGGACACUCUACCCUCACUCAGCCACCCACAGUCCACUCCUGCCUGGUCCAGCAGAGGAACAAUCAUCACAUGUCAUAUUAGAUAAGUAACGAAAGCAACCUCACUCUGUUUGGCCUGAUAGUUUAAUGUCUUUUUUCCACUUAUUUGAGGAUUACCCGGAACAUCAACGCAGUGUAUACAACAUACAAUCAUCAGUGGUGUGUGCAGUACCUACAAGCCAUAGAUAUUACCAUCUUACAUUUACAGUUGGCACUUUACCGGUUACAAAGCAAUUUCAUACAUACUGCCUCAGACAGAAUCUAAUACCAGCCUGAAAGAUGAAUCAAGGAGGAAUUACUACAUAUGAGGAAAUGGAAGUCAAAAGAGAAGACUGAGGAUCAGAGUUUAAGGAAAAUUGCCCAAGGACAUCAGUCAAGGAAGUGGCUGGAGUUGGAGCCCUAUCCUUCUGGCUCGUAGUCCAGAGCCUUCUCUGUGAUAACACCAGUCAAGCCCACAGCAGAAGGCUGCUAGGAAGAACCAGCUUGGACCACAUCGUGCUGGAUUUAAAGCUAUAAACCAGCCACCAACCAGCACAGGAGGCUCAGAGACAAACCUCUUCUUAUUUGCGGAAGUCAGGAAUUGUGAGCUGACUACUGUUGCACAUCCCCAAUGAGGGUGGCACCUGAGGGUGUGACCUCCGAGUACAGCAUGGCAAAUGUAGGAUCCACUGAAGGAAGAGCCUCUGGCUGGAGCAGCUCUUGGCUGCUGAUCGAGGGUCCGUGGAUGUGUCUGAAGGUGCAGGCCGUGUGGUGGAGCAAAAGUGGCCCUGUCCCGGAUGGUGGACGUCCUGGUCCCUGUCCUGCAUUA